AACAUCCCCACCAGCUCUGGGGUGCAGGGUUUGGGUCCAUCAGUCAAAACCAGGAUGGGCUGAAUCCUCUGGGACAAUGUUCUUGUCUUGGCUGUGUUUUCCCGGCUCAUGCCCUGACCCGGAGCCUGAUCUGAUCCCACUCCCUCCUCCUGUUUGUCUGUGAGGUCCAAGGAGGUGCCAGGGCUGAGCCAUGGCUGGGCUGCUCACUCCACACCCACCCUGGGCAGCUCAGGCUCCACCAUUCCCGGGAGCACCUCGGGACAUUCUCGGAUCAAAACCGAGCUGGUUUAGUUUUGAUUUUCUUUUCCUAGAUGGAAGUUAUUGACCCUUGGGGUAUUCCAAGUAUAUAAACUUAGUAUAAGUGAGGUAUAACUGACUUUUUCCCCUUUUUUUCUGAGAUUACAGGCUUUUGGAAACACAAGACCCCCUUGCAAGCCCAGCUGGGUUUGUGUUUCCCCACGUUCCCACCGGCUGGGGGGGGUCGGAUCCCGAGCUCAUCCCGCCUGCUCUUCCCCCAAAACACGGAGCCUCCCCAGGUUUCUUUGUGAAUCCCACAUCUAGGUGUCUCUUCCUGUGGUUGCUGCCAGGGAACAGACAGAUUUUCCACGGGAUGUGCUGGCCUGAAUCUUCUGGAGCCCAGGUGCCAUCAGUGCUGCUCUGCAAAUGAAGGUCCCCACCAUGGUCACCACAGCAGCACAGAAUGGCCUUGGAGCGAGGGAAUCAGGCGUGAGGAACGGGGAGUGACCACCCCAACACCCCACCCACGGGUCCCUGGGCAUGGAUGCCACCACCAGAACCAUCAGUGGAGACAGCUUUGCUCCUGCACAGUCGGACAUGGUCACCUGCCCAGCAGAGAGAGAAGUCUCGUCACCGGGGAGUUUUUAAAAAUAGCCCUGGAUGAAACAGAAGACGGGGGAUGAGGGACCAGGCCUGCCUUGGCUGGGAGGCAGCUCGGGCUAACAGGACUUUUCCAUCGGGCUGUUCCAUGAUUAAUCGAGACAAGAAAAGAAAAAGAAGAAGGAAAUUGAUAAACACAAUGGUAAUUCCAUCCAGGGCUUGCCUUAGUCAGGUUAUUAGAAUCCUGACAUCAUGUCUUGAAAAGAGGACUGGAAAUAAAUCUCUGGGAGAUAAGAUCUGCUGGCUGGGGGCGGGGAGGUGCACCAGGCUGAUGGGGCCAUCUUGGGGGUCCCCUCCCCAAAAAGCUGUUUCUCCCAGUUUUGCUGGGUCUCAAACCAGCAACAGGAACAUGUGGCUUCCAUGGAAACCUUACACCUUCUUCUGCCUGCGCUCCUCGGCUCGUCCUGCUAAAAUCACCCUCCACACCCCAACGAAAGCAUUCCUGAAGGAAUCUCCAGCUCCCUCGGAGGACAAGGAGGAUGAGAAGGACAAGGUCUGUGGACACUGGAUCCUGUCAUGGAGCAAGUCCUGACUGCCCUUCUCCAGGCUCGGGUACAAUCAGGUGUCCCAUUCCCUGUUCUCCAUCUCUCCAACCUCGUGGCUCCUUGGACACUGCCCAGGCUUGGAAGAAGCUCCCCAUGAGCAACCUGGUCCAGUAUCCCUGCCCAUGGCAGAGGGGUGGAAUGAGAGGAGCUUUAAGGUCCCUCCCAACCCAAACCAUUCCAGGAUUCAGCAAAAAUUCCUCUUUUUUCCUCCUGAAACCGGUUCUGCAAACUCCCAUGCCAGGAAAGCACCUCUCCAGGAGUCUCCAUCGUGGGGAGAGUGUGGGAAGAUCCACCUGCAGAGCCAGAGGGAUCCCAGCACUCCGAGGAUGUUCCCUCCCUCCAGCCCCAGGCUCAGCACAUUCUCCUCAGAAGCCAAGGGAACCCCAGCUUGCCCCUGGUGGAGGAGGAGCCAGUGGGAUGAAUCCUACCCCAAAGAGUUGGUGAGUUUAUUUUGGGAAGUGCCCAAUCACCCAGCUCUGCCCAAGGUCCCAACCUGGUCUGGGAUCCCCAGGGAUGUUUCUGCAUCAGACACACGAGCAGAGCCCCUUGACUGCAACGGCCUGGGCAGAACAUCCCGUCUCUCCUUGUCUGCAUUGCUCCAGAAGGCUCCAGGGAGACCUUAGAGCAACUUCCAGUGCCUAAGGGGGCUCCAGGAGAGCUGGAGAGGGACUUGAGACAAGGGUCUGGAGUGACAGGACAAGGGGGAAUUGCUUUUAACUGGAAGAGGGGGAAUUUAGGUUUGAUAUAUGGAAGAAACCCUUCCCUGUGGUGGUGGGGAGGCCCUGGCACAGGUUGCCCAGAGAAGCUGUGGCUGCCCCAUCCCUGCAAGUGUCCAAGG